GAUGAACGCUAGCGGCAGGCUUAACACAUGCAAGUCGAGGGGUAUAGUUCUUCGGAACUAGAGACCGGCGCACGGGUGCGUAACGCGUAUGCAAUCUACCUUUUACAGGGGGAUAGCCCAGAGAAAUUUGGAUUAAUACCCCAUAGUAUGUUAGAGUGGCAUCAUUUUAACAUUAAAGUUCCAACGGUAAAAGAUGAGCAUGCGUCCCAUUAGCUAGAUGGUAAGGUAACGGCUUACCAUGGCGACGAUGGGUAGGGGUCCUGUGAGGGAGAUCCCCCACACUGGUACUGAGACACGGACCAGACUCCUACGGGAGGCAGCAGUGAGGAAUAUUGGACAAUGGGCGCAAGCUUGAUCCAGCCAUGCCGCGUGCAGGGAGACGGUCCUAUGGAUUGUAAACUGCUUUUGUACAGGAAGAAACACUCCCUCGUGAGGGAGCUUGACGGUACUGUAAGAAUAAGGAUCGGCUAACUCCGUGCCAGCCGCCGCCGUAAGAC
rnacentral:rRNA from 1 species